UUUGAAACACCGGGUUUCCGUAUGAUCACCGAAGUUAAGCAACGUUGUGUCUGCUCAGUACCUAGAUGGGUGACUACUUGUGAAUAACAGGU